CUACUUCCUGUAGGUGUAGAGCAUAUUUGAGCGUUAUCUUCAACAGGUGUGGUAUCCAUGUCGCUACGGACCGAAGCCGUUGAAAAGUUUCUUUUUUGUGUAUUGGAGGAUGUACCUGUUGAGCAUCCUCCCAUAUCUCCCUUAUGUAUGGGGGUGGCACAUGAAAUAAUGUUUAAUGCGGAGAUUGCAUUUAUUGACAUAUCGUUUUCAAAUAUUUCAUCAAACUUGUCAUAAUUACUGCUUUCCUUUUGCCUGAAAGAGGAGCUCUAAGCUGUACCGCGCACGAAGCCUCGUGUUCCUUUUAAAAAUUGCUUCGAGCUCGGACGCGCCCGAAAUUGGAUUUCCCUUGUCCCCUCAUGCACCACCUAUUUUCUAGGGGCGCGAAACACUUUUGAGGUUAUAUACCUACUUGUCCAAAAUGAACAACUUCCAAAAAGAAUUUGUUUUAAAGACGUUAUUUGAUAAUGCAGCUCAAAAGCUGAUGGAUUUUGAUACAAGCAGUAGUAGCAGUUCCGAUUUUUCAUUUGUUGAACAGGAUAACUGCAAGAAGCGAAAGAUUUGCCUGCGUGUUAAGAACUAUGUGGAGAAUAUAGUACGUGAAUAUACAGAAGUUGAGUUUAAAGCAGAUUUUCGCAUGUCGAGGAGUACUGCGUAUAAAAUUAUUAAUAUGUUCGAAGAAACAAGCGUUAUACCACAACAUACAGCUGGCAGGGAAAAAAUUACUGCGGAGAAAGCUUUUCUCCUUAGUGUCUGGUA